rnacentral:rRNA from 1 species
AUUGAACGCUGGCGGCAGGCCUAACACAUGCAAGUCGAGCGAGAGGCGGACGGGUGAGUAAUGUCUGGGAAACUGCCUGAUGGAGGGGGAUCACUACUCGAAACGGUAUCUAUUACCGCAUACCAUCAGAUGUGCCCAGAUGGGAUGAGCUAGUAGGUGGGGUAACGGCUCACCUAGGCGACGAUCCCUCGCUGGUCUGAGAGGAUGACCAGCAACACUGGAACUGGGACUCGGGCCAGACUCCGACGGGAGGCAGCAGUGGGGAAUAUUGCACAAUGGGCGCAAGCCUGAUGCAGCCAGGCCGCGUGUGUGAAGAAGGCCUUCGGGUUGUAAAGCACUUUCAGCGGGGAGGCGUUACCCGCAGAAGAAGCACCGGCUAACUCCGUGCCAGCAGCCGCGGUAAUUC